rnacentral:lncRNA from 1 species
GGCGGGUAAGGUGGCGGAGUGGUUGGGAAGGUGGUGGGGGUGAUGCGCAGGCUAAGCAGCGCACGCUAGCACCACUCCACCCACUCAUCCCCCUUCCUCCAAUCCCCUUUUCUUCACACCUUCCUCCACUCCCACCUCCACCCAUCAUGCCAACCACCUCCAUCUCCAUCUCCAUUUCCAUCUCCACCUCCACCUCUUCUUGUCUCUCUCCUCCACCACCACCACCACUAC